UACGUAGGUUGCGAGCGUUAUUCGGAUUUACUGGGCGUAAAGAGCACCGAGGUGGCUUCUUAAGUUGGAUGUAAAAUCUCCUGGCUUAACUGGGAGGCGCCAUUCAAAACUGAGGAGCUUGAGGUCAGCAGGGGAAGGUGGAAUUCCCGGUGUAGUGGUGGAAUGCGUAGAGAUCGGGAGGAACACCAGUGGCGAAAGCGACCUUCUGGGCUGCACCUGACACUCUAGUGCGAAAGCGUGGGGAGCAAACCGG
rnacentral:rRNA from 1 species